UUUGGUGUCAUUUUCUAUGUUCAUAGAUAAUGGUGAAAAGGGAAUUGGGUGAAAAUCCCUGACAGACCCGCUGCUGUGAAUUCUAUUAGUAUCUCUGAAAGUACUAAUGCCACUGUUCUUAUGGGAAGGAUUUUAGAGAUAGAAUAAGUCAGAAGACCUGCCAAAAUAG
rnacentral:ncRNA from 1 species